rnacentral:rRNA from 2 species
UGGGGAAUUUUGGACAAUGGGCGAAAGCCUGAUCCAGCAAUGCCGCGUGUGUGAAGAAGGCCUUCGGGUUGUAAAGCACUUUUGUCCGGAAAGAAAUGGCUCUGGUUAAUACCUGGGGUCGAUGACGGUACCGGAAGAAUAAGGACCGGCUAACUACGUGCCAGCAGCCGCGGUAAUACGUAGGGUCCAAGUGUUAAUCGGAAUUACUGGGCGUAAAGCGUGCGCAGGCGGUUGUGCAAGACCGAUGUGAAAUCCCCGAGCUUAACUUGGGAAUUGCAUUGGUGACUGCACGGCUAGAGUGUGUCAGAGGGGGGUAGAAUUCCACGUGUAGCAGUGAAAUGCGUAGAGAUGUGGAGGAAUACCGAUGGCGAAGGCAGCCCCCUGGGAUAACACUGACGCUCAUGCACGAAAGCGUGGGGAGCAAACAGG